GAUGAACGCUGGCGGCGUGCUUAACACAUGCAAGUCGAACGAGAGAUACAGGAGGAAGUUUUCGGAUGGAAUCCGGUAGAUCGAGUGGCGGACGGGUGAGUAACGCGUGGGGAACCUGCCUCAUACAGGGGGAUAACAGUUGGAAACGACUGUUAAUACCGCAUAAGACCACAGAGUCGCAUGACUCAGGGGUAAAAACUCCGGUGGUAUGGGAUGGACCCGCGUUCGAUUAGCCAGUUGGCGGGGUAACGGCCCACCAAAGCGACGAUCGAUAGCCGAUUUGAGAGAAUGACCGGCCACAUUGGGACUGAGACACGGCCCAAACUCCUACGGGAGGCAGCAGUGGGGAAUAUUGCACAAUGGGGGGAACCCUGAUGCAGCGACGCCGCGUGAGUGAAGAGGGUUUUCGGAUCGUAAAGCUCUGUUGUAAGAGAAGAACGAGUGUGAGAGUGGAAAGUUCACACUGUGACGGUAACUUACCAGAAAGGGACGGCUAACUACGUGCCAGCAGCCGCGGUAAUACGUAGGUCCCGAGCGUUAUCCGGAUUUAUUGGGCGUAAAGCGAGCGCAGGCGGUUAGAUAAGUCUGAAGUUAAAGGCUGUGGCUUAACCAUAGUACGCUUUGGAAACUGUUUAACUUGAGUGCAGAAGGGGAGAGUGGAAUUCCAUGUGUAGCGGUGAAAUGCGUAGAUAUAUGGAGGAACACCGGUGGCGAAAGCGGCUCUCUGGUCUGUAACUGACGCUGAGGCUCGAAAGCGUGGGGAGCGAACAGG
rnacentral:rRNA from 1 species